GGGAUAAGAUGCUCGAUAAGGCAUGAGGUUCAAUAUCAUAACAGUUUCUUCGUAGUAACGCCAACGAAUCUCAUCCAGAACUCUUUGUACUUUGAAAACGGACAUGUGGAUGCGUUUUUGUGCUUUGAAAACCCGUUCGAACUUAAGUAGACGAUCGGUUGGUACUUUUCUUGCGAGUUUCCUUAGCCCACUCUUCUUCUUCUUUAUCCUAGGGGUAUACUUU
rnacentral:misc_RNA from 1 species